GCGUCGGUGGUUCGGUGGUAGAAUACUCGCCUGCCACGCGGGUGGCCCGGGUUCGAUUCCCGGCCGACGCA
rnacentral:tRNA from 2 species